rnacentral:misc_RNA from 1 species
GCUACUACCGAUUGAAUGGUUUAGCGAGAUGCUCGGAUCGGGCCCAGCUCGUGCGAAAGCAUGUACCGGGACUGAGAAGAAGUUCAAGCUUGAUCAUUUAGAGGAAGUAAAAGUCGUAACAAGGUUUCCGUAGGUGAACCUGCAGAAGGAUCAAGAUCGGAAGAGCGUGGCGUGGGGAAAGAGAGUAGAGAUCGGUGGGCGCCGUGUCACUAUAAAAAAAAAAAAACAGAGAGUGAAGAAAAUCUACCACAAUAGUAAAACAGACAAAGUAAUCCG